rnacentral:rRNA from 1 species
CUACACUUUACUACAGUAUACGCAUUUCUUAGUAUAAAAAGCCAUGCAUGCUUUUACAGUAUGGAAAUUGGUGAUUUAUAAUAACUUGGCAAAUCGCACAAGUGAAAACAGGCGAUAAAUCAUUCAAGUUUCUGACCUAUCAGCUUUCGACGGUAUGGUAUUGGCUUACCGUGGCAGUGACGGUUAACGGGGGAUUAGGGUUCGAUUCCGGAGAGGGAGCCUGAGAAACGGCUACCACAUCUAAGGAAGGCAGCAGGCGCGCAAAUUACCCAAUUCUAACAGUUUGAGAGAGGUAGUAACAAGAAAUAACAAUACAAGGCAAUUAAAAUGCUUUGUAAUUGGAAUGAUAGAAAUUUAAACCCUUUUUAAAGUAUCAAUUGGAGGGCAAGUCUGGUGCCAGCAGCCGCGGUAAUUCCAGCUCCAAUAGCGUAUAUUAAAAUUGUUGCAGUUAAAAAGCUCGUAGUUGAAGUUCUGCUAAAAGUAACCGGUCUGCUUUUAAUAAAAGUGGUAUCUUGGUGUGUAUUUAGCAAUGAUGUCCUUUGAAGUGUUUUUUACUUUAUUGUA